AGAAAUGGCAGUUAGGCCUAAACUAUCUUCUCUGUCCCGCUCUCGUUCACCAUCACUGCACAACAACAACCUCAGCCUCUCCGAACAAAUCUUACCCAUACUGGAUCCAACCCACCCCAUCUUAUUCUUGCUUGACUCAUGCGCCGGCAUUCGACAGUUCAACCAGGUCCACACCCAGCUCCUCGUUUCUGGAAUCUUCCAGAACCCUCUCGCAGCUGGCAGGGCGAUCAAGAAGCUCUGCUCUGACCCCCUCACUGCCCCACGUGCCACUCACCUGUUCGAUUACGUGCGCCAGCCUGAUGCUUUCCUCUGCAACACCAUCAUGCGGAGCCACGCUCGCAGGGGCGAUUCCUCCGGGGCGCUUCGCUUCUACUACGACAGAAUGAUCUCCCGCUGUGUCGAGCCAAAUCACUACACGUUCCCGAUUCUGAUCAAGAUUUCUGGGGAUGUUGGGUCCGUGGGAGAAGGGGAAAAAGGGCAUGCCAGGGUUGUGAAAUUCGGGUUUGAAUCAGAUUUGUUUGUUAGGAACUCACUGAUACGGAUGUACUCGGUUUUUGGGAGGGUUGCGGAUGCACGUGCGGUGUUUGAGGGAAGUUAUGUGUUGGAUUUGGUGAGUUAUAACUCGAUGAUAGAUGGGUAUAUGAAGAAUGGAGGAAUUGGAGAUGCUCGCCAGUUGUUUGAUGAAAUGCCAGAGAGGGAUGUUUUUAGUUGGAAUUCGCUGAUCGCAGGGUAUGUGGAAGUUCGUGAUUUGGAGUCUGCGAAUGAGUUGUUUGAGAGAAUGCCUGUCAGAGAUGUAGUGUCUUGGAAUUGUAUGGUUGAUGGGUAUGCAAGGAUUGGGGAUGUUUUUAGGGCUCUUGAGUUGUUUGACCUGAUGCCUGUGAGGAAUGUAGUUUCGUGGAAUUCCAUGUUGGCAUUGUAUGUGCGGGUCAAGAAGUUCAGUGAGUGUUUGAGAAUGUUUGAGAGGAUGAUGGAGAGUGGCGAAGUUGUGCCAAAUGAGGCUACCAUGGUGAGCGUGCUGACAGCAUGUGCUAAUUUAGGGAGGAUUGAUGUGGGCAUUUGGGUUCAUUCUUUUAUCAAAAGUAGGAACAUUAAACCUGAUGUCUUGCUUUCAACCUGUCUUCUGACAAUGUAUGCAAAAUGUGGGGCUAUGGAUCUGGCUAGAGAUGUUUUUAACAAGAUGCCAGUUAAGAGCGUUGUAUCAUGGAACUCUAUGAUCAUGGCAUAUGGCUUGCAUGGCAGUGGGGACAAAGCUUUGGAACUAUUCUUGGAGAUGGAGAAGUCAGAUCUGCAGCCAAAUGAUGCUACUUUCAUUAGCGUCUUAUCUGCAUGUACACAUGCAGGUAUGGUCAUAGAGGGUUGUUGGUAUUUUGGCCUCAUGUGUCGAGUUUACAAAAUUGAACCCAAGGUUGAACACUAUGGUUGCAUGGUUGAUCUCCUAGCUCGAGCUGGUUUGGUGAAAAACUCGGAAGAUCUUAUAAGAAAGGUCCCCAAGGCUGGAUCUGUAUUAUGGGGUGCAUUGCUUUCUGGUUGUAGGACGCAUAUAGACCUGGAGCUUGGAGAGUUUGCAGCCAAGAGACUUAUUGAGAUGGAACCACUGGAUAUUGGUCCUUAUAUAAUGCUCUCAAACAUCUAUGCUGCUGAAGGGAGAUGGGAUGAUGUUGAACAUGUGAGGCUGAUGAUAAAGAGAAAAGGACUACAGAAAGAAGCAGCACCCCAUUUAGUUCAUCUUGAAGAUUUUGAAUCAGAAUAUUUGAUUAAGAAAAAAGCUGCCUAUAGGAAAAACAUAAUUAACUCGAUGCUGGGUGAAUUGGGUGCACGGAUGAAAAUAUCAUUUGGCAAUUCAGUUGACAAAGAUAGUUUCUGAUCUUAGGUGAUCAAUUCGUCGGAAAAACCAGCAUCAUCACCCAAUUCAUGUACGACAAAUUCGUUAACACUAACAGUCUUCUGGUAUGUUACUACUGGGGACAACCCAUGUUUGGUCUCCAUCUUCAGCACUAAACAGCAUCCGUAACGACAGAGGUCCACUUGGUGGAGAGGUAGUAGUCCAGACUGCUCCAUGAGUCCGAUCCAGUAACUUACAGACAAAGUUCUGCGUCUGCACACGGAAAAGGAGGCAAAAACUACCUCACAGAGCUGCACAGCAGUUAUGUCUCUCAUUCCUUGUU